ACAGGCAAAGGGUGAGUCCCUCCCUUCUGCCUGACACUAAAGCCAGGGCCUCAGCGUUCUUGCUUUCCUGCACAUUCAUGCUCCCUGGCUGGCUCGGUUUCCCUCAGGCACACUCCCUCUGAGCUGUAUCUCAUCUCGGGUCUGAGUGGCCUCUUUCCUUUCACCCUAGGCUUUGGACAACAGGUCUGUGCUUUGCUAGCUCUGGCCUCGCUCAUUUUGUUGACGUGAUUGUGGCUGAGUAGACACAGACAUCUCCAAGGAGCUGCCAUGAUCUGUGAAUUGUGACAAGAGCAGAUUCUAAAUUAGGUCAUUAGAGAUGCGGUCUUCAUCAUGUAGGACAGGGCGAUCUCAGGUGCAGUCUCACACAAAGAGAAUGAAUUCAAUAUUUCAUCAGCUUUCUGAGGCACACGAAUCAGAUGCCUCUCGACACCAGCGCCAUGCAGGGUUUCUGUGGAGAAUGUGUUCACAGGCUUCCUCUGGUCUUUGCCAUCCGUGAUGUCAGAGGUUUCCUCUCCUAGUCUCGAAGGACCAUCGUGGCAGGGCCGCUGGUACAUGCAUCACUGUCCAGGAGGUAUGAAACUGAAGGUAUGCAUAGUGGCAAAAACCUGUGAUCCUAACACUUGGGAGCCCGAGGCUGAUAGCUGCAUUUGGACUGCCAUUGGAAGGAGCAUCUUUCUUGUGGGGUCUACGAGUGAUCACUUCAGCUCCAGGUACAGAGAUGUAAGCCAUCCACCUACAUACAGCUCCAGCGUGAGAAAAACAACCCUGAAAGCUGGAUAAAAAACAAGGAGUGUUCAGUAUAACCAUCAUCUAGUGAAGAACAUGAAUCAUAGUCUGAUGAACUCCCAGCAAGAUGUUCACGUGACAAGCCACCCAACAUAUGAAAGAUUUCUUUAAAUUAAAGUUUUUGAAAUGUA